CUCUCAAGUAAUAACAAGUACUGCUUCUCGCCACAAUCCAGGAAUGGGCUAUUCCAUUUAAUAUCCGUACCCCCCCUGUCGAGGAUACAUGUUUUUCAUAGUUAUACCCCUGAAGAAUUCCAAGCUCAAAAUCCUUUACCCCUGAAGAAUUCCAAGCUCAAAACACUUUACCCCUGAAGAAUUCCAAACUCUGAAAAAUUUCAAUCUCACACCUCUUUACCCCUGAAGAAUUCCAAGCUCGAAUCCUUUACCCCUGAAGAAUUCCAAACUCAAAACACUUUACCCCUGAAGAAUUCCAAACUCGAAACACGUUACCCCUGAAGAAUUCCAAACUCAAAACACUUUACCCCUGAAGAAUUCCAAACUCAAAACACUUUACCCCUGAAGAAUUCCAAACUCUGAAAAAUUUCAAUCUCACACCUCUUUACCCCUGAAGAAUUCCAAGCUCGAAUCCUUUACCCCUGAAGAAUUCCAAACUCAAAACACUUUACCCCUGAAGAAUUCCAAACUCAAAACACUUUACCCCUGAAGAAUUCCAAACUCGAAACACGUUACCCCUGAAGAAUUCCAAACUCAAAACACUUUACCCCUGAAGAAUUCCAAACUCAAAACACUUUACCCCUGAAGAAUUCCAAACUCAAAACACGUUACCCCUGAAGAAUUCCAAACUCAAAACACUUUACCCCUGAAGAAUUCCAAGCUCAAAAUCCUUUACCCCUGAAGAAUUCCAAGCUCAAAAUCCUUUACCCCUGAAGAAUUCCAAACUCAAAACACUCUACCCCUGAAGAAUUCCAAACUCAAAACACUUUACCCCUGAAGAAUUCCAAACUCUGAAAAAUUUCGAUCUCAAACCUCUUUACCCCUGAAGAAUUCCAAGCUCGAAUCCUCUACCCCUGAAGAAUUCCAAACUCAAAACACUUUACCCCUGAAGAAUUCCAAACUCAAAAUCCUUUACCCCUGAAGAAUUCCAAGCUCAAAACACUGUACCCCUGAAGAAUUCCAAACUCAAAAUCCUUUACCCCUGAAGAAUUCCAAGCUCAAAAUCCUUUACCCCUGAAGAAUUCCA